rnacentral:rRNA from 1 species
ACAGGGUGACAGGUGGUGCAUGGUUGUCGUCAGCUCGUGUCGUGAGAUGUUGGGUUAAGUCCCGCAACGAGCGCAACCCUCGACCUUAGUUGCCAGCAUUCAGUUGGGCACUUUAAAGAGACUGCCGGUGUUAAACCGGAGGAAGGUGGGAUGACGUCAAGUCCUCAUGGCCUUUAUGCUUAGGGCUACACACGUGCUACAAUGGGUGGUACAAAGAGAAGCCAACUCGCGAGAGCGCGCCAAUCUCAAAAAGCCAUCCUCAGUUCGGAUUGGAGUCUGCAACUCGACUCCAUGAAGUUGGAAUCGCUAGUAAUCGCGGAUCAGCAUGCCGCGGUGAAUACGUUCCCGGGCCUU